CCCUUAGAUGUCCUGGGCCGCACGCGCGUUACACUGAUGCAUUCAACGAGCUUAUAACCUUGGCCGAGAGGCCUGGGCAAUCUUGUUAACGUGCAUCGUGAUGGGGAUAGAUUAUUGAAAUUAUUAAUCUUGAACGAGGAAUUCCUAGUAAACGCAGAUCAUCAAUCUGCAUUGAUUACGUCCCUGCCCUUUGUACACACCGCCCGUCGCUACUACCGAUUGAAUGGCUUAGUGAGCUUUCUGGACUGUUGCGCUUCGUUGGAAACUUCGUUGUGCAUACGGGAAGGAAAUCAAACUUGAUCAUUUAGAGGAAGUAAAAGUCGUAACA
rnacentral:rRNA from 1 species